rnacentral:rRNA from 1 species
GAUGAACGCUGGCGGCGUGCCUAAUACAUGCAAGUCGAGCGAACAGACGAGGAGCUUGCUCCUCUGACGUUAGCGGCGGACGGGUGAGUAACACGUGGAUAACCUACCUAUAAGACUGGGAUAACUUCGGGAAACCGGAGCUAAUACCGGAUAAUAUAUUGAACCGCAUGGUUCAAUAGUGAAAGACGGUUUUGCUGUCACUUAUAGAUGGAUCCGCGCCGCAUUAGCUAGUUGGUAUGGUAACGGCUUACCAAGGCGACGAUGCGUAGCCGACCUGAGGGGGUGAUCGGCCACACUGGAACUGAGACACGGUCCAGACUCCUACGGGAGGCAGCAGUAGGGAAUCUUCCGCAAUGGGCGAAAGCCUGACGGAGCAACGCCGCGUGAGUGAUGAAGGUCUUCGGAUCGUAAAACUCUGUUAUUAGGGAAGAACAAAUGUGUAAGUAACUAUGCACGUCUUGACGGUACCUAAUCAGAAAGCCACGGCUAACUACGUG